rnacentral:rRNA from 1 species
AUGAACCGCGGCGAACCCUUACACGACCCUUCUAAGAUAAGGGGGGAGAUCCUCAGUAGUGGUGACCCUUUGACUCUUCCACUGACUUAUAUAUGUAUCAAAUGCUCAUACGGGAAAGUGAACUCCUGGGUCUGGGGGUUGCUCCGAGAAAAAAUCCUUUCUUUCUCGUCCACUCUAGGGGGUGCAGACACACCUGCGCAGAUUACAGGUGACGGUUACAAGAAUGGCGGGGAAGUGAAGAGUACCCAACGACAUUCAGCGAUGAAUGUAGACCCAUUGGGCGGGGAUAAUCAUUCCGGUCCUGGGAGAGGUGGUGACACCAGUCUGAGCUGA